rnacentral:lncRNA from 1 species
UUGGCCACAAGGCCAACCUCAUCACACACAUAGCAACCUCUAUGACUAGUCUCAACAAGAGAAAGUACAACUGAGUUCGAACGGUCACCCUAACUACUAAAGUACAACUAAGUCCGAACGGUCACCCUGAACUAGAAGAUCCACCAGCUGAAAUCUACAAAGUCACCUGCAUUGGCCUACCAUGAUAUCCACGAGAACCUCUAAAAUCUCUGCCUCGAGAGGUUCGACUCCUG